ACAUGGCUACAGUGUUCAUGUUUGCUCCUGGUUUUUAUUUUAUAGGUGAGGGCCUGUUUUUGUGUCUCCGAGCCCCACAGAAAUUGUUUGUUGCUGAAGAAGCUGAACCUGUCCCAUUAGAAGAUCUUCUAAGAGUUUAAAGAAAUCACACUUGAUUCCUGCUGACCUGCACCUCAUCGAGACCCCCGUUGGCUGGAGCGGAGAGGAGUGAGAGGAAGUCGGGGAAGAGGAGAUCCUUCGGCGCUCCUUAAGGCGGAGAGGAGGGCAAAAUGAUUUUGUUAGAAUUUAAUUUCUCUGUUGGGACAAGGAAUUAAUUUGGAAGAGUUGGGGGGUGUUGUGGUGUUAAGUUCUGUAAGUGAUAGCAAAUUUGAUAGAUAACAUUUAAUUCAUUACACAAAUCGUUAUUGUCUGGUAUGUGUUAAGAGCUAGACUUAUAUGUUAAUAUCUGGUGCACACAUUUUAACUUGAUUUGAUGAGUUUGGUUAGAUACCAGGAGAGAGCCUAACUUGGGAUACAAAUUACAUGAGGACUUCUUUGCCUUGCAUAGAGAGUGGCUUUCAGGUGAGACAAGUGAGCAGCGGCCAAGAUCAGGAAAGUGGCUUCAUGAAAGUAUGGGCAGGACAUUUCUGAUAACUGUGCUGGUUUCUUCCUUUGAGAGGAACAACUAUCCUUCUGGUUGCCUGAAAGACGGCUGAGUCACUUAGAGAAAGACAGUGCCUGGGGGAGUGUCGGCUACACACUCAAGCCCUCAGCUUUGGGCCACCGCCAUCCCAAGCCCCUUUCCAGUGAAGAGUGGAUGAAGAACAAAAUGGAUUCCGAGGGCAGACAUCGUGCCAUGGACGGUGCUUCUCUCGGGAAGGCUAACUGGAUUAAAAAAGAACUGCACCAACAUUUUUGGGAGCGCCCCCGGGCCCCUUCUCUUCCAUUGGCUGUCCGCUCCCCGGGGGUGGGAAGUUCGACGGUCUCCAGUCUGAACAAAAGGUGUUCUUGAGUUCCCCCCGGGAAAUCCCGGCCCACCAAGCUCAAACUCUUGUCAGAGGUUUCUGAUCAUAACAAUAAAGAGCGUGCACC